rnacentral:lncRNA from 1 species
GAACCACUUAUAAAACAAAGGCGCACAACAAUUCAACAAUCCUCCUUUUCUAUUCUUAUUCCUGUGGUGCACUGAAUGAAAGAAAUCUCCCAGCAAGGUCGGCACUGGAUUUCUCAACACGAAGAGGCGUACCGCGUCCAUGUCUACAAAUUUGGCGACAUUAGGGAACAAGACAAUCCCAUACACACAAAGAGCCAACACAGCAUUGAAACCCCUCUGGUCACCAUCUUCAAGCUUCUUCUUUGCUUCUCCCAAUAAGAAACUCAGAUGAAAACCGUUAACUUCUCCCUUCUGACACAUAUUAGCCUUCAAAACUGAUUCCCUCAAAUAUGUGGUUGAAGCAACCAUGCUGAGAUC